CCUUUUGUAAUGUACAAGUAGAAGAAGUCACAGUAUAGGAUGGUCUGGACUACGCCGGCCACCACAGCAAUGAGGUCAAAGAAGCCCUCAAAGUAGAAGCGCCAGAUCCAGUUGACAAGAUACAAAGCACGAUAGAGGCCCAGGAAGAACAGGCAGGGACCACCAGAAACUCCACUCGGAAGGUAUCAUGAUUUCCAUCGUAGGUUGCCUUAAAUUUCAGGUAGAUCAGGUACACUGUGGCAUAG
rnacentral:lncRNA from 1 species